rnacentral:rRNA from 1 species
AGUGAACGCUGGCGGUAGGCCUAACACAUGCAAGUCGAACGGCAGCACAGUAAGAGCUUGCUCUUACGGGUGGCGAGUGGCGGACGGGUGAGGAAUACAUCGGAAUCUACUUUUUCGUGGGGGAUAACGUAGGGAAACUUACGCUAAUACCGCAUACGACCUACGGGUGAAAGCAGGGGAUCUUCGGACCUUGCGCGAUUGAAUGAGCCGAUGUCGGAUUAGCUAGUUGGCGGGGUAAAGGCCCACCAAGGCGACGAUCCGUAGCUGGUCGGAGAGGAUGUUCAGCCACACUGGAACUGAGACACGGUCCAGACUCCUGCGAGAGGCAGCAGUGGGGAAUAUUGGACAAUGGGCGGAAGCCUGAUCCAGCCAUACCGCGUGAGUGAAGAAGGCCUUCGGGUUGUAAAGCCCUUUUGUUGGGAAAGAAAAGCAGCAGGUUAAUACCCCGCUGUUCUGACGGUACCCAAAGAAUAAGCACCGGCUAACUUCGUG